GCGUUUGUAGCUCAGCUGGAUAGAGCAGCGGUUUCCUAAACCGUGUGUCGGGAGUUCGAAUCUCCCCAAGCGCACCA
rnacentral:tRNA from 2 species